AUUGAACGCUGGCGGCAGGCUUAACACAUGCAAGUCGAGCGAGCGGCGGACGGGUGAGUAAGGUCUGGGAAACUGCCUGAUGGAGGGGGAUAACGACUGGAAAAGGUAGCUAAUACCGCAUACCAUCAGAUGGGCCCAGAGGGGAGUAGCUAGUGGGCGGGGUAAUGGCUCACCUAGGCGACGAUCCCUAGCUGGUCUGAGAGGAUGACCAGCCACACUGGAACUGAGACACGGUCCAGACUCCUACGGGAGGCAGCAGUGGGGAAUCUUGCACAAUGGGCGCAAGCCUGAUGGAGCCAUGCCGCGUGUGUGAAGAAGGCCUUCGGGUUGUAAAGCACUUUCAGCGAGGAGGCGUUACGCGCAGAAGAAGCACCGGCUAACUCCGUGCCAGCAGCCGCGGUAAUAC
rnacentral:rRNA from 1 species